GUGCGCUCUCAGUCAGUAGCAGCCUGCAUGUGUGAGGCACAGGAUGCUGCUCAGUCCGCCCUAAUAUAGGGGACACUUUGUUGCAUUAAUAAUCGGCGAGUUCAUUGGAGGUAAUACAGCUAUCGAUGUAAUUUAGAUAACAUUUCCAAAGGAGGACCUGAAGAGCAUAAAUGAAUGGAGUUAGCCCAAUGAGCAAGAAAAUGUUGUCAGUGCUGCUCCAGAAGGAUGCAUUAGCCAGCGUUGAAGAAAAUCUGCCAGUAAACAGGAUGAGGAGCGACUGUCAGCCUGCAGAUGGAAACAAGGGUGGGUGGCUGGAAGGCUGGAUAAAGGCUGGUGGAUGACUGAACCUGGCGACCCAGUGCAGCUCAUCAUCAUUGCCGGGGGCCUCUCGUCUUCUUCCUCGUCUCCCAUGGCUCGUACCUCCAUCCAGGGGUCUAGCAGAGCCCAGCGAAGCCCAGCCGGGGAGCUAGUGAGUGGGCUGGGAAGGAUGGGAAAGGUCCCUGAAGGCAAAAAUCACCUCUGGAGCUAUCAGCGUGCUAGAGAAAUCGAUAUGAAACACAGAAUCUUCACAGCUUUGAGUGGGGUUUCCUGUGUUUUUAAGUGUGUGGCCUGGAGGCCCUGCAGACCUGCAAAGGACAUCCCCUGCGUGUCUCUAUCAGCUUCAGCCCCAGCUCCUUCUCUGGACCUGAGCCCUGAUCUCCACUGGCUGUGUGUGGUUCUGCUGAAGGGUGUUUCUCCCCAAAUGAUACCCAGAGUUUUAAAAGACCGCUCUGAGGCAUAUUCCCCCCACCCACCCGUCACGAGAUUGACACAUCCCACCACCUUCUGCCUCUGGCAACCAGCUUGGAAGUUCUGCCUUUGACUCACUCUCCAUCUUCAGCUCAUCCGCGGCUUAUUCCCCAACUAGUUUUCACAUUUGACAAACAGACACUGCGAUCUUUAUUUUCCACCUCCACUCUUGGCUCACACUUCCAAUGAUGAGCUCCAGACAGAUGUCUUUCAAAAGCAGACACACCG